UUCAGUCCCUUUACUGUAGACAAUGCCUUGUAACGCCGGACGUAAGAGGCAGUGACUUAAGAAGACUUCUAAGGGACAGUUCGAACUUAGAAAAGUAAUUACUUUGCGUAAGAUAUAUCUUAAGAGUCUUCUUAGCGCGUGAAGAGGUUGUCUUAUCGGAAAACCAGGCCCUGCUUUUCCUUGAAAUGUGAUGUUGGGGAAAAAAAAAAAUUAACCUCUUCUCAUGAAAUAUUCAGAAUUGUUCUUUUUUUCUUAAAGUAAAUUUGAUAUUAAAUAUUUUUUUUAAUGAGUUUUGCCCUUUAUUUAAAAUUUUUUUUUAUCAAUUUAUUUUUGGGGAUUUUGUAUGUGUAUGUCUGCCUAAUGAUUCUGAUUAUAUACGUUUUGUUACUCAUUAUGCAAGUGCUUAUAAGAUCUUAUGCAUUAAUUAAAAAUAUAUAAAAUAUAUAAUAAGGUUUGCAUUUGGGUCUUCUGAUAUGUUGUGUAGAAUUUAAUUCAUUACUUUCUUAAAAAAAUUUACAUUUUACUACUACUGAAAUGACAAUGCAAAAAUGUAGAACUCAAAAUGUGCAUAUUAUUAUAUAUCAUGUCCUUGACAUAAAAUGUAUGUUUGCAUAAAUGCAUAAAAUCCUUUGAGGUUUAAGGGAUAGGGUUCUCUGACAAACUGUGUCAUCUACACUUCAUCUUACUCUUCACAUACAGUAUGGGUAGAUGGAGAGGAUGGUUAGUAUGUUGGAUCUUUGAAAUUUGAAAUUAAUAAAAAAAAAAAAUAGAAUAUAAUGUGUUAAAGGCAUAUAUGCAUACAAGUUGUGUAUACCACUUUGGGCUGCAGGUAACACAGCCCACUUUGAUGGCUACCACCGCUGGUAUAUUUUACACCUGUAAACCCUGCAAUGUGUAAAUUAUUUGAACUUUCUGCUUUAGAAUUUAAAAAAUAAAGUACCCAAGGAAGUUUCUCUUUUAAUCCACUAUGUGUUCAAUGAAGAUAUGCAAGUUGGUAUUAAUUAAACUCUAUUACAAAAUUGUUUUGUAAUAGAUAAAUGUUUUAUUUUAAAAUUUAGUUUUGAAAAAAAUUCAAAAUCCAACCCCCAGUUACUGUAUAUUACUGUAUAGUACACCAAGGUGUCCCUAGUUGAUACACAUGGCUAACCUUUUACAAAUGUGUACACAUUAAUGAAUUCAUUAAAAUUAAACUGGCAAAUGCAAUAUACAUAUUUUUUUAAAUUAAGAAGUGAAGCAAUGAGAUAAUAUUGGUGUUGAUUUCUGUUUAUGUACAAUGAUCAUUUAAGGCCAAAACUAUUUUUGUUUAUACAUUUUUGACUGAAUGUUUAACAUUUUAUCAUGACCCAAUCAAGCCUACAGUACAUUUUAAUAAAGAAAUAAUUUCCCACAAUUUCUCCCACACAUGCUCCUGCAAAUGUUCAAGUGGCCAGUGUGUUAGAGAAAUGUGCAGGGCAUCUCCAGGCCUCAGUGUCAAGUCAGAAAAAACACUUCACCAAUCACUAUUUAUCCAGCGCAACACCUUCUUUGCUUACCGUAGAUCAAAUGAAGAAGACAAAGCAGACGGUAUAGAAGCAUGCCACCUCAGAAACCUUGAGGAGAACAAGAAUCUCAACAAAGAAAUGCAGGAGAAUGUUCUGGAGUCUCCGAUCAGUACCACAUCAUCAGUCAGCUGGAGGCCUAGAGAGAGCUGAUUGGCCGAGCUCUCUCAGAGGGGAGGGAUGAGAGGUACUUCGUGCUCCCACAUUAAUUACGGCUCUACAGCCAAUCAGGGGCGUCUGUGAGCUCCCACACGCGGAAGAACUUUUCCUGCCAUGGCCUGUUCUUGUAGCUCUUACAUAGAGCAAGCAACCAAAUUUUCUUUUACAUUUUCAUCUCCUUUUUGACUGAUUCUUUUCAGUGGAAGAGUGUCACAAUGCUGUGGACUUUGUGUAACUCCAGUAUAAAUUAUACUUUGAGUUGAGCAGUGUGACACUUGAUAUCUUUGUCAGGUUUUAUGAAAUUUUGUAUCAUAUAGUGUCUUGAUUUGCAAGUUUGCUGGUGUCUGUUAUAUUGUGUGAAUUGUACAUUUAUUACACAAUAAUAAUUUUGUAUUGUAUUUUUCACAUUUAUGUAUUCAUUAUUACGCAUGGGCUUGAUUUACAAAUGAAUGGUAAUAGUAAACUGUAAUAUUUUUAAUAUUUGGUUUUAAUUUUGUGGUAGACAGAGGUCAGGAUGGACACUGACUGGUCUCAGGUGGUGCUAGUUGUGGCUCAUCACUGCUGUAAAUUGCGGAUUUUUUAUCUGUUUAAUAAAACUAUAAUAUUUCUCAUUUGUUUCACACAUCUCAGUUAUAUUUGGCUCUAAUCUCAGUAUGGUCUUAUAUGUGGCUCAUUUGCUUCUCGUUCAAAUGCAGUUCUGUUUCUCAUGAACAUCUCAGAUUUCCCCAAACUUCUCAGUUGUGUCUCAUUGUUUCUCCUAACUCCUAAGUUAGGAGAAAUAAAAAGGACCAAGUCAAGCUUGAAAUGAGAAAGCUCAAUUCAGUCUCAUGAGACUAGAAAAGGAUCAUUCUGAGCAACAAAUUUUGGCUAUGGGUUCAAACUAGUGUAAAUCUUGUUAGCCUAGCCAUUACUGGUUAAAUAAUGUUUUUAAUUGUAAAGAACAGUGUUUCUGAAAAAUUUAUUUUAUCAAUGUGAGACUGAAAUCUGAAAUUUUAUGGAAUCGUGUAGCAAAUAGUGUAAAGCCCAUCAGUGAAAGUGAAAAACUGGAUCGAAACUGAAAGAUUUAUUUUUAUACAUUUAAUAGUUUUUUUUGUUUGUUUGUAUGUAUUUUUAUUUACUUUCAAUAAUUUAUUAUUUGUUUAAGUAUUUUACUUUUGUUGAUUUCUUUUUGACAAAUCUAAUUCCAUAAAACAUGCAAUUAGUUCAGCACACAUGUCUAUUUGCAGGAUCACCUGUGCUUUGUUUAAGUGUAAAAUAUUUUUAUUAACCUCUUUAUUAAUUUUUUUGUUAAAUUAUAUUAUUUGCACAUCAAAAUACUUUUAAAUAAACCACAAAUAUCUUGUUGGGUUGCUAAGGGUGCUAUGGCUGGUAGUGGUAGCUAAAGCAUUGCCCACGCCCCUUCCUUCAGCCGCACCUGUUACAGUCAAUUAUUUUAAGAGGGCAUAUAAGCACCAUCUCACUCUCUCACAUUUUUUUUCGUUUUCUGGCCACAUAUGCCACCUCAUCCUUGAAGCACUUAUUGUGUUGCUGCCUCAUAAUUGGCUUAUUGGAUGAUUACAUAAGCAGGUGUCCCUAUUAAAAUAUAUGAUAAAUAAAAAUGUGAU